AGCGCAGGCGGUUUUUUAAAGUCUGAUGUGAAAGCCUUCGGCUUAACCGAAGAAGUGCAUCGGAAACUGGGAAACUUGAGUGCAGAAGAGGACAGUGGAACUCCAUGUGUAGCGGUGAAAUGCGUAGAUAUAUGGAAGAACACCAGUGGCGAAGGCGGCUGUCUGGUCUGUAACUGACGCUGAGGCUCGAAAGCAUGGGUAGCGAACA
rnacentral:rRNA from 1 species